GCGCGCGCAACUCAGGUGGAUAGAGCGCCCCGUUGUCGUGUGUGCGGAGAGAAUGCCCGUCUCGACUGUAUCGGCGGGGAGGUCGCGGGUUCAAGUCCCGCCGCCGUGCG
rnacentral:tRNA from 2 species